GAGCCUUUGUUCUUUUUUAAACAGGUAGAGGGUGGAAGGGAGGCAGGUUUUGUGUUCUGGGUUCCUCCAUUUUGUGUAUGGCGGUGUGGUUUGUGUGCAGGUUCUGAAUGGGUUCCAGUUGGCUUUCAGGAUUUUAUUUACAAGAAAAUUAUAUUAAAUAAGAACUAUACCUACCUUGGAGCAUCUCUUGGACAACUUGUUGUUGUUGGACUGCCACUGGAACUACAGAAUAAGCAUCAACAAACAAACAAACAGUCAGGUCUGUGAGGAUGAGAAGGUCUCCACAGUCUGGAGUCUGGUCUCUGACAGGCUCAACAUACCUGUCAAUCAACAGGGACUCCUCUACAAAGGCAAGGCGCUGGCAGGUAGGCUGAACAACACAGCACAGCACAGCACAGCACAGAUCACCCCUCAUCUCGCCCCUCACCUCACCCCUCCUCUCACUCCUCGCCUCACCCCGGGUCAGUGUGGCACAGCCUGCCUGCUCUUCUGAACAAACACUUCAGCCCUGCAGACGCAGUGAGAGUCUGGAGCAGCUACACAAGGUGAUGAAGUGACACUUUGAAUAUGGGGCCUGAUGAGAGAAGUAUCCUUUUCAUGUGGUUUUGGUUUUGCCGUUGUGAGCAGGUAUGGGAGACAGCACCGUGUCUGCAUGUGAAAUAACAAAGUCAUCGCAGUGGAGGGACUCUCUGAAGGCUGCUGUUUGUGGAUUUGUCUUGUAAUGUGAGUGAUCUACUGUACUGUGAUGCCACUGUCUGUACGCACGCUGCACUGCAGGGGAGACACCGCUGGCAUUCACAGGGCAUGCUUGUUCAUUUAAAGCACGCUGCACUGCAGGGGAGACACCAACCUUCUGGACAAAGCCAAAACAGAUAGAGGAGUGACCAAAGUGAUCCUAUCAUUCGGAAUCAACAACAAGGACCAGAAAGUCAAAGAGACAGCUAUCAAAAACCUACAAAGGAUGUACAGGUCAGCAAAGACAACCUUCCCAACUGCAGAAAUCAAAGUGCCACUGGUGAACUUCUCACGAGCACUAGACAUGCAGGCCCAACGAAACUUGGAAGAACUAAACGGAUUCAUCUCAGCCAACCUACCACACAUACCGCUAUUACCAACUGAGAAAUUUCAAGCUGGCGGAGACAACAUCCACUGGACAACCAACACAGCCAAAGAUAUGCUCCAGCACUGGUGCCAGCAUUUAAACUAGGAGACCCCACAAGCCCAAAUAUCUCCAGGGAGGGGGCAUCCAACAUAGUCAAUCUAUGUAAAUACUUCACACCAACAGAGAGUCAAAACAGCCUUUUGAGC